rnacentral:lncRNA from 1 species
AUGUCCCUUCCACGAUGCUGGUAUAGUCCUAUGACUUGCCACCAAGCGUGGACACAGAGGGUGGGACUUUUUAACCUCUCCAUAUUUUCAAUCGUGCACCUUUACACUGGUUUAAUUUCACCCCUUCCAGGGCUCCCUUUGCCUUUGCUCGUGCAGGGGAAAACAGCACCGUGCUCAGCCCACGGAGACACAAAGGCAAACGCACACAGGGAGAUCACCACGUCGGACCAGGACUGGUUGAAAUUUGACUUUUCUCCCCGGCGGCCCAGGCAGGGCAGGUUUUUGCCAUUGCACUGCCAUCUAGUGAUGCGAGGCCGCAAGGCAAAACAGCUGGGAAAAGAUGGCUGACCACCAGCAAGGGCCUGGGUCAAGUUCUGAAAGGAGGCUCCAGAACGACAUUCCACUCGAUUAAACAGCAAGAAUUGCAAAAGGCACCCCCAGUGGUGGCCCUCAACCAUUUAUGGGAAAGAUAAGUGUUAUGCUACGUACGACAACGAACAGCUUACAUAGAAGGGGUUGCCUGGAAGCUCAUCCAUUAUCCACCUGUUGUCCAUGGUAGGGGACAUUCAGGACACGCAGUUGGCAACCUCAAGUCUCAAAGUCCAGCUGCUCACCUGAUACAAGCUCCUAUUGCUCUACUGAUUUGGAGCUGCCAAGCCUACCUUCAAGGCCUCAAGACUGACUCUCCUGCAAGUGCCUGAAAGCCUUUGGCCGUGUUUCUUCCAGCUUUACUGGACACGUUCCUCAGUAUAACUCCCUCUUGCCUUCAGCUCAGUUGUAUCGGAGCAUCUGGGCCAAAUUUAUUCUCUUUGUAAUUCAUUUCAGUGGUUUCCACCAUGGACCACUUUGAUGGUCUCUACCCACAGCCAUUACUACGGUCAAUGUAAAUCCAAAAAGGAUUUACUAAGCAAGCACGUAGUAUUCCUUCCAGAAAAUCCUCCUUAUAAUCCUCACGCCCAAGAGCUGGACAGCACAGUUAAGGCUUAACGUAUGAACCUGAAAUGAACUGACCUUGAUGAGUUAAAAUCCCAGUCCUAACGUUUUACUCAUGGGGAGGAUAUUUGUCCUCAGCGGUAUGUGUGUCAGAGGGCGUGAAAAGUGAGAGUGUCUUGAGGUUACCAAUUGUUCAUACUCAUAGUGGAUGAAUCAUAUGAUAACGCCACAGCAACAUCCUGUAUAAUUGUCGGGAGCCUCUAUUUCUGGCAGUGUGUCCCUAGUCUGUCUCAUGAGUAAACCUUAUUUGUGCUUUACUAUAUAAAACCAAAACCAAACAGAAUUAUACAACAGGACACUAGGCUGCAGGCACCAGCCAAAAUCACAAGUGCCUAAUUGAGCCUUCAGUUACCCA